rnacentral:rRNA from 1 species
AACGAACGCUGGCGGCAUGCCUAACACAUGCAAGUCGAACGAGACCUUCGGGUCUAGUGGCGCACGGGUGCGUAACGCGUGGGAACCUGCCCUUAGGUUCGGAAUAACUCCCCGAAAGGGGUGCUAAUACCGGAUAAUGUCUUCGGACCAAAGAUUUAUCGCCUUUGGAUGGGCCCGCGUUGGAUUAGCUAGUUGGUAGGGUAAAAGCCUACCAAGGCGACGAUCCAUAGCUGGUCUGAGAGGAUGAUCCGCCACACUGGGAAUGAGACACGGCCCAGACUCCUACGGGAGGCAGCAGUGGGGAAUAUUGGACACUGGGCGAAAGCCUGAUCCAGCAAUGCCGCGUGAGUGAUGAAGGCCUUAGGGUUGUAAAGCCCUUUUACCCGGGAUGAUAAUGACAGUACCGGGAGAAUAAGCUCCGGCUAACUCCGUG